GUCUGUGAUGCCCUUAGAUGUUCUGGGCCGCACGCGCGCUACACUGACAGGGCCAACGAGUACAAUCCUUGGCCGAAAGGUCUGGGUAAUCUUGUUAAACCCUGUCGUGCUGGGGAUAGGGCAUUGCAAUUAUUGCCCUUCAACGAGGAAUUCCUAGUAAGCGCAAGUCAUCAGCUUGCGUUGAUUACGUCCCUGCCCUUUGUACACACCGCCCGUCGCUACUACCGAUUGAAUGGCUCAGUGAGGCCUUCGGACUGGCGCCAGGAGGUCGGCAACGACCACCAGGAGCCGGGAAGUUGGUCAAACUUGGUCAUUUAGAGGAAGUAAAAGUCGUAACAAGGUUUCCGUAGGUGAACCUGCGGAAGGAUCAUUAGCAAGUGGCCUCGUGCGAGGUCAGAAAGCUUCACGCCAACCGGCCAACCCAGCGCGGCAAGCCUGCCCCCCGGUGUUUCUCCUAUACCGGUGGGUUUCACCGCGCUGGCCCGGCCAUGGCUUGGGAGCGAACCCACUGUGGACCACCUUGUUGCUUCGGCAGCUCCACGCAGGCACCUGCCAGCGCUGGGUCAGUCUGCCGGAAGCCCCAACCGGAAUCGUAUUGCAACCUGCUGUCUGAUCAUUUUCUCCAAUGUCAUUAAAACUUUCAACAAUGGAUCUCUUGGUUCCCGCAUCGAUGAAGAACGCAGCGAAACGCGAUAGGUAAUGUGAAUUGCAGAAUUCAGUGAAUCAUCGAAUCUUUGAACGCACAUUGCGCCUUGUGGUAUUCCGCAGGGCAUGUCUGUCUGAGCAUCAGCACAACCUCAGAGCCAGGCUCUGGUGAUGGCGAGCCCCUGCGGCUCCCCGAAGAUCGAUAGGGAAAGGACCCUGCGGCGUGAAGCAAAGAACAUGAUCAGUGCCUCUAGCUCCACCCGCAGGCGGAGCCCGCAUCCACCCGAACCUUUGACCUCAGAUCAGACAAGGACACCCGCUGAACUUAAGCAUAUCAAUAAGCGGAGGAAAAGAAACCAACGGGGAUUGCCCUAGUAGCGGCGAGUGAAGCGGCAAGAGCUCAGAUUUGAAAUCGGAUGCCUCAUCCGAGUUGUAAUCUGGAGAGGAUGCUUCGGUUGGGACACUGGGCAAAGUGCCUUGGAACAGGACGUCGUGGAGGGUGAGAACCCCGUUCUUGCCUGGUGACCCCUGCCGUGUGAAGCUCCCUCGGAGAGUCGAGUUGUUUGGGAAUGCAGCUCAAAAUGGGUGGUAAAUUCCAUCUAAAGCUAAAUAUUGGCGGGAGACCGAUAGCGCACAAGUAGAGUGAUCGAAAGAUGAAAAGCACUUUGAAAAGAGAGUUAAACAGUACGUGAAAUUGUUGAAAGGGAAGCGCUUGCCAUCAGAAGGGCGGCCGGCCGAUCAGCUCCCGUAUCGGGGGUGCACUGGGCCGGCCUGCCAGCCAGCAUCGGUUGCGGCGGUGGGAGAAAGGUUCCAGGAAUGUGGCUCCUCCGGGAGUGUUAAGCCUGGGGCGCAAUGCCGCCUGCCGCGACCGAGGACGGCGCCUCUGGCGAGGAUGCUGGCCUAAUGGUUGUAAGCGACCCGUCUUGAAACACGGACCAAGGAGUCUAACAUCCACGCGAGUGUUCGGGUGCCAAACCCGCACGCGCAGUGAAAGCGAACGGAAGUGAGAGCUCUUGCGCAUCAUUGACCGAUCCUGAUGUCUUCGGACGGAUUUGAGUAGGAGCGUGGCUGUUGGGACCCGAAAGAUGGUGAACUAUGCCUGAAUAGGGUGAAGCCAGAGGAAACUCUGGUGGAGGCUCGCAGCGGUUCUGACGUGCAAAUCGAUCGUCAAAUUUGGGUAUAGGGGCGAAAGACUAAUCGAACC
rnacentral:rRNA from 1 species